rnacentral:rRNA from 1 species
GCGUUGUCCGGAAUUACUGGGCGUAAAGAGCUCGUAUGUGGUUUGUCGCGUUGUUCGUGAAAACUCACAGCUCAACUGUGGGCGUGCGGGCGAUACGGGCAGACUAGAGUACUGCAGGGGAGACUGGAAUUCCUGGUGUAGCGGUGGAAUGCGCAGAUAUCAGGAGGAACACCGGUGGCGAAGGCGGGUCUCUGGGCAGUAACUGACGCUGAGGAGCGAAAGCGUGGGGAGCGAACAGG